rnacentral:rRNA from 1 species
CCUACGGGGGGCUGCAGUCGAGGAUCUUCGGCAAUGGGCGCAAGCCUGACCGAGCGACGCCGCGUGUGCGAUGAAGGCCUUCGGGUUGUAAAGCACUGUCGAGGGGGAGGAAGGCGCAAGCUUGACCGAUCCCUGGAGGAAGCACGGGCUAAGUUCGUGCCAGCAGCCGCGGUAAGACGAACCGUGCGAACGUUAUUCGGAAUCACUGGGCUUAAAGGGCGCGUAGGCGGGCCCGCCAGUCCGUGGUGAAAUCCUCCGGCUUAACCGGAGAACUGCCGCGGAUACUGCGGGUCUCGAGGGGUGUAGGGGCAUGCGGAACUCAGGGUGGAGCGGUGAAAUGCGUAGAUAUCCUGAGGAACGCCGGUGGCGAAAGCGGCGUGCUGGACACCUUCUGACGCUGAGGCGCGAAAGCCAGGGGAGCAAACGGGAUUAGAUACCCGGGUAGUC